AUUGAACGCUGGCGGCAUGCCUUACACAUGCAAGCCGAACGGCAGCACGGGAGCAAUCCUGGUGGCGAGUGGCGAACGGGUGAGUAAAGUAUCGGAACGUGCCCAGUCGUGGGGGAUAACGUAGCGAAAGUUACGCUAAUACCGCAUACGAUCUAUGGAUGAAAGCGGGGGAUCGCAAGACCUCGCGCGAUUGGAGCGGCCGAUAUCAGAUUAGGUAGUUGGUGGGGUAAAGGCUCACCAAGCCGACGAUCUGUAGCUGGUCUGAGAGGACGACCAGCCACACUGGGACUGAGACACGGCCCAGACUCCUACGGGAGGCAGCAGUGGGGAAUUUUGGACAAUGGGCGCAGGCCUGAUCCAGCCAUGCCGCGUGCAGGAUGAAGGCCUUCGGGUUGUAAACUGCUUUUGUACGGAACGAAAAGGUUUGACUUAAUACGUUGGACUCAUGACGGUACCGUAAGAAUAAGCACCGGCUAACUACGUGCCAGCCGCCGCGGUAA
rnacentral:rRNA from 1 species